rnacentral:rRNA from 1 species
GACGAACGCUGGCGGCGUGCUUAACACAUGCAAGUCGAACGGAAAGGCCCUGCUUGUGGGGUACUCGAGUGGCGAACGGGUGAGUAACACGUGGGUGAACUGCCCUGCACUUCGGGAUAAGACUGGGAAACUCUGUCUAAUACCCGAGAGAAGACAUCUUGCGUGUGGUGGUUGGAUAGUUUGUUCGGUUUAGGAUGAGCGUGCGGCCAAUCAGCCUGUUGGUGGGGUAAUGGCCUACCAAGCCGCGCCUGGUAGCCUGGCCGGGAUGGGGGACGGCCACCUUUGGGCGUGGGAACGGCCCAGACUGCGACCGGAGGCAGCAAGGGGGAAAAAUGCAAAAUGGGGGAAAGGCUGAUGCAACGAAGCCGGGUGGGGGAAGAACGCCUUUGGGUUGUAAACCCCCUUCGCGAGGGACGAAACUUUGAGUGACGGUACCUAGAUAAGAAGCACCGGCUAACUACGUG